UACAGAGGGGGCAAGCGUUGUUCGGAAUUACUGGGCGUAAAGGGCGAGUAGGCGGCCAUCUAAGUCAGACGUGAAAUCCCCCGGCUUAACCUGGGAACUGCGUCUGAUACUGGACGGCUUGAGUUUGGGAGAGGGAUGCAGAAUUCCAGGUGUAGCGGUGAAAUGCGCAGAUAUCAGGAGGAACACCAGCGGCGAAGGCGGCGCUCUGGGCCGGUACUGACGCUGAGGAGCGAAAGCGUGGGGAGCAAACAGG
rnacentral:rRNA from 1 species